rnacentral:rRNA from 1 species
UACAGAGGUCCCAAGCGUUGUUCGGAUUCAUUGGGCGUAAAGGGCGCGUAGGCGGCCACCGCAAGUCGGUUGUGAAAUCUCUGGGCUUAACCCAGAAAGGUCAACCGAUACUGCGGGGCUAGAGUGCAGAAGGGGCAACUGGAAUUCUCGGUGUAGCGGUGAAAUGCGCAGAUAUCAGGAGGAACACCGAUGGCGAAGGCAGGUCUCUGGGCCACUACUGACGCUGAGAAGCGAAAGCAUGGGGAGCGAACAGG